UUCAAUGAUUAUAGGGUUGUAUUAAUUUAUAUAUAUAAAAAAGGAAUCCAUGCAAAACAGAGGCUGGUACAGAUAGAUAAAUAUUACAUUUAAUGUAUCAGUUACAGAAGCUUCAUUGCUCUUUCUGAGAUACUGAUGAGUGAAUCAAAAUCAAACCACAAUGACCAUUGAAACACAGCUGGUGUAACUGUGUGGGGGGGGGGGUUGGGGGUUCUUUUGUGGGGUCCUCCAUUUCUCCCCUUUGCUAUAUCUUCUGUAAAAUGACAGCCUAAUCAACAGCCUGUAAAGAGCUGUUUUGGAAACUUUGCACUAAAAAGCUCUACUUGAUUGUGUUUUCAUGGUGGCAUUGAGAUUAUCAUGUGCCCUUGAGGAAAGAAACAUAGCCUAAAUAAGAACUGAAAAUCAUGCUUUUUAUUAUCUGCAACUGAUAUAAGAAAUAAUAUCCCAAUUGGGUGCUCAUUUUCUGCAAAUUAUUCCGUGGCCACCGCUUGAUCCUCCAGUACAAUCUAAAGUCCCAUAAUCCAUGACUAGGGGGUCUGAUUCUUCAGAAACUCCAGCUGGAGAGAAGAUACAGGAGUUACAUUUGGAAGACAAAAGGGUUGAAGUUCUGUACAUCUUUUCACCUCCCACUACAGGCACUGCAACACCUGGUUUUGCUGGAUUUUUGAAGUCUGGCUGGUACGUCCGGCCAAGAACGCCUUCAACCUUCGUUGAGAGGCCAUAGAAUCUGAACUGCACGUCCAGGUGAGCGAAGCAGUCAUCAGAAGUUCUUUCUACCUUGAUGCCGCUUUCAGAAGAUUCCCAUAUGGAUGGAUAUCCUUCUGUAAAACACAAUUCCAUCUCCACCAAUGAAGCGAGGAUCCAAGCAUGCUGCUCCGGGUUGAUUGCAAUUCGCCUUCCUGUCUACGCCCAAUCAUUUUAAGAAAGUGUGUACAGUACUUUAGUGUUAGCGAGAUAAAGUUCUAGCACAAGAAAGUCGAAGUUCAAACAUGAAACAGAAAAUGUUUAAGAACAUAGAGAAUCACUUACUUCUGCACUCAGGUUUGCACACCGGGGAAUUACAGUUGAUAUAGCAAACUUUAGCCUUCGAGUUACUUGGAGAUUUUGAUGGGCAUUCCGCAGGGCAAUAUAAUGGUUUCAGAAAGCAUUUGCUUUUCCGGUUGGUGCAGGUUAUUAGCUCUCCUCCAUUGACCUCUGUUAGACCAGCUAGGAAGAGUAUCA